rnacentral:siRNA from 1 species
UUGUUCUGCUUGGACUCUAUCAGU